UAAUACGUAGGGUCCAAGCGUUAUCCGGAAUCACUGGGCGUAAAGCGUGCGUAGGUGGCGUGUUAAGUGUGAUGUUAAAUCGUGUGGCUCAACCAUAUCGAUGUGUCGCAUACUGGCAUGCUAGAGGACAGCAGAGGCAAGUGGAAUUUGUAGUGUAGCAGUGAAAUGCGUAGAUAUUACAAGGAACACCAAUGGCGAAGGCAGCUUGCUGGGCUACUCCUGACACUGAGGUACGAAAGCGUGGGGAGCGAACAGGAUUAGAUACCCUGGUAGUCCACGCCGUAAACGAUGCAUACUAGUCUUAUGGGGUAUCGACCCCCUGUGAGACGCAGCUAACGCGAUAAGUAUGCCGCCUGGGAAGUACGGCCGCAAGGCUA
rnacentral:rRNA from 1 species